GACAGAGGUCUCAAGCGUUGUUCGGAUUCAUUGGGCGUAAAGGGUGCGUAGGUGGCGUCGUAAGUCGGGUGUGAAAUUUCGGAGCUUAACUCCGAAACUGCAUUCGAUACUGCGGUGCUUGAGGACUGGAGAGGAGACUGGAAUUUACGGUGUAGCAGUGAAAUGCGCAGAUAUCAGGAGGAACACCGAUGGCGAAGGCAGGUCUCUGGGCCACUACUGACGCUGGAGAAGCGAAAGCAUGGGGAGCGAACAGG
rnacentral:rRNA from 1 species